rnacentral:rRNA from 1 species
GGGGGCCCGCAAGCGGUGGAGCAUGUGGUUCAAUUCGACGCAACGCGAAGAACCUUACCUGGGCUCGAACGGCUGGUUAACUGUCAUGGAAACAUGGCCACCCCGCAAGGGGGUCCAGUCGAGGUGCUGCAUGGCUGUCGUCAGCUCGUGUCGUGAGAUGUUGGGUUAAGUCCCGCAACGAGCGCAACCCUUGUCCUGUGUUGCCACUCCGUAAGGAAGCACUCGCAGGAGACCGCCAGCGAUAAGCUGGAGGAAGGUGGGGAUGAUGUCAAGUCAUCAUGGCCUUUAUGUCCAGGGCUACACACGUGCUACAAUGGCCGGUACAAAGCGCUGCGAACCCGCGAGGGGGAGCCAAUCGCAAAAAACCGGUCUCAGUUCGGAUUGCAGGCUGCAACCCGCCUGCAUGAAGCUGGAAUCGCUAGUAAUGGCGUAUCAGAACGAUGCCGUGAAUACGUUCCCGGGCCUUGUACACACC